rnacentral:lncRNA from 1 species
UCUCUCUCAAGUCAUCCAAUUGUUCAAGGGUUUCAGGCAUCACACUUGGGGUGCAAAGUUCUUAAAGGCAAAAAACUACAAGCUACAACAACAGGUAAUUCUAUAACUCAUUUUUAUGUUGAUUAUGUCAAUUGUAUGGUAGUUUUGGGCUUUAUGCUUUGGAAACAAUAUUGCAUGUAUAAUUAGGGAAAACAUAGAUCCAAAGCAUUUAGGGUUGUAUGUGCACCAUAGGAUGUUGUUGUAUACAAAACCCAACAAGUAUCUCACCAGUACUUUUAAGGAGAUACUACCCGAUAUUCAUCUCAAUUAAUUUACGUUUAUUUUGUAAGACCUGAAUCAUCACAUCUUAUCAGUUAUGUUCUUAACACUUAUUUCAAGCAAUAUCAAAUAUCUCACACAUAAACAUAUAUUUAAUACUUUAAUUAAUACUUGUAUUAAAAUCAUGUUCAUGAAAGGGAUUAUGCACUCACUUGUUAAAGUGAUGACUCGAAAUUCGGGCAGUGCUUCGCUUCUAACAAUUUUCUUUUACUUCGACAAAACCUAGUAUCAUUAUUACUAUAUUUUUGUAUAAUAUUUAUUGCGACUAAUUAUUAGUCUAGAUUCAUCAUUAACUCAAAGUUUACUUCAUGAUCUAUCAAGUAAGGAACAAUCACGUAGGAUCAUAUCGGAAGUAGGGUUCGUUUGGUAUACGAAGUAUACUGUUUGGAAAUCCCACUUUAAACACCUCACUAAAUCAUAGCUUAGACAUUAUCCCCAUAAGUUGAUCAAUCAGUACAGUGACUUGGAAUCACUGAUAAAUCUUUUUGAUAGGUUCAUAAUAACGAUAAUGAACUUAAACAUAAGUUGUACUUAAAGUAGGGUAAUCAUAACUCACUUACAAGGGGUUUUAGCAAGGAACCGGGCUCUGCACGGGUAGAACUUUUGAGCCAAAAGCUCUUCUUCUCGAGGCCUAUGGUGCUCUGGGACUCACUACUAACACCUAGGAGGUGCUAGGGAAAAUCCUUGAGGAUUUGUGGAGGUUUGAGAUAGAAUGGGUUAGAAUGGUGUGAGAAAUGGAGUGAUUUGCACCUCUAUUUAUAGGUUGUGAAUUGGUGCGACAUGGAGUGUUACUGGAUAAACACGAAGUGUUGAAGUGCCAGGUUUUGCGAUUGCGUGCGAAGCCUUGGGGAAGAAGGUGUGGAUGUGAUGGUGCCAUGUGUUACCUUCGGAACUUAAUAGAAAAGUUAAUUAUCUUCUAAAAUCUGUACCUUUCGCAUGUGAGCUCCAUUUUUGACGUUCUUUAUAUCCAUGCAUAGGUAGCGAUGUGACCUACAACUUUCAUUUAGACUCUAUCGACUAAUUUUGACUAUAUUUUUAAAUUUAUGUUUUAACAGGUUUAGACAUGUAAAGUCCGUUGAAAAUUCAUAAAUUUGUCAUCCAACAUCCGUUUUCGACUAUCUUUAUAUCUUUGAGCUCCUAUUAACGAGAUCUUAAAUUCUCAUUUAGGUUGUGUUGGCUAAAAAUCGAUCCAUCUAAAAUCCGAUUUCCGGGUUGUAUACUACAAUGCAAAAUCUUAGAAAAAUCAUAAUUCCUCUAACGAAGUCAAAUUUGGACGUUCUUUAUAUGCACGCUCUCGAUUUAACAUGUACUAUGACUUUUGUUUAGAUUGCUAAGGCUAAAAAUUAUUUCGUCAAAAAUUUACUUAUUACGUUACAUAGAGCCGUACCGGUUUCAUCGUAAAACUUCGAUGGGAUAUAACUUCUUCGUUAUAAGUCGGAUUUUAGCGUUCUUUACAUGUACAAAAUCCUUGUGACGUAUAUUAUACUUUGGUUAAGACUAUUUAUUCUAAAGAAUCUUCUAUCUAAAAGUUAUUUUUUACGCUUAUUGUCUCUAAAUUGAGUAGCCCGAAUCUGCAGACGUUACAGGAAGCGAUUGGACGAAGAUCUCGUUGUGGCCAAUAGUCCCUUUCGGGAACACCAGAUAUUAGGUUAAUAGGCACUUAGGCUACUCAGGUUGAGUAUCAGUUGUCGAGGGAUUGGUUAGCUCUUUAUAUUAACUAUUAUUUGAAAUAGAGGAAGAGUGGUUGUUGAUAUGUCAAUCAACUUCAGAGUUUGGUAUGUGUAUUUUCGCAUGGGCUGUGUUCAGUAGAUUGUCAAAUCAUUUGAUUAGUUUUCAGUCCAUUUUCACUCAUUGGUUAUUUCGUUCAUUGUUAACAACUGAGGUUAUUCGAAGGUUUCGAGUUAUGCUAAGUUGAAAAGGCAGCCGGUGCAUUGAAUGUUCGUUAAGUUUUGUCAAAUGCAUAUCUAAGUUUCUAAGUAAAUUCACCUUUGGUUGAUCGAUUGUGGAUUUUGUAUUAUAGUAGGCACAAGUUUAGUACUUGUCCUUGGAUAUUAAAAGUUUGGAUGUCGGAGUGUCAUUGCUCAAUUUUCCUGGUGUAACAUUGGGUCUACAUUAAGUCCAGUUUGAGAUGUCAUGUAUUCGGGGUGGGCAUUUAAGGACUAUCCGAUCAGGUUCUGGUAACACUUUGCUGAUUUUGGAAUCUUACCCUGAGUUUGGAUAGUUAUGCAUUGGUGGGAUUUGUUCAAGGUUGAGACCUUGUUUCGGUUAUCAGGAUAAUGAUUAUGUUAACAGUUUAAGUGAAUUAAUUAGUUGGAUCCAUUCAUAUUUCACCCUUUAGAUAAGGUUAUGGUGAAAAGGGAAUGCAGUCGACGAGAGGAGAGUUUUGUAUUCACAUGAGGAAUGCGGAAUCUCAAUAGUUCAACCAAUUUUGUCUGGCUCUUGGGCUAAGUUCUUGUCUGAUUUAUUUAUUUCUAGGUGGAACGGUCGUUCCACAAUUUUUAGGUCUCGUCCAAUCAUUUUUUGUAUGAUGUUUUGUCGGUAACAGUUUAGACUUGUUGGAUUAGUGUCUAAGUCCAUAACUAUUUUGGUAUGUACUUGACCCGAUGGUGCAUGGUCCUUUUGGGUUGCCUUCACCAAAUCAACUUGAUAGGAUGAACUAUGGAGAGAGAGGAUUAAUUAUGAUUUAUUAAUAUAUUAUGAGAAUAAUAUAUUAAAGGAGAAAUCAUAUUGUUUAAUUAAUAUUAGUCAAGAAUUAAUAAGAAUUAAGUUUGUGGCAAAAAGACAUUAAUUAAACUUAAGGGACUAGAACUGUCAAUUGAAUGAUAGUUGAAUAUUGGGCUAAUGGACUCCAUAUUAGAGGGGUGGACGAAUUCUAUGGGGAAACCCAUUAGAAAUCGUCCUAGGCCUCUAAGGAAGGAGUCCAUGGGUUGCUUAGGGCUUAAGCAUCCAAAUUAGGGUUUCCUUGUUAGAUAACCCUAAUAGCCUCACUAUUUAAAGGACCCUUGAGACUCAAAAACGUGGUGAACUGGUUCCUUAGGGUUUCCACACGUUUNUUUGGGCAGCUCUACUCUCCUUAUUCUUCAUCCUCUUACUCUUGGUGUUUGUGAACCAUUAGAGGACUGACAUUUGUGACUCUAAGCUUUCUAAAGUCAUUACAAGGAGGAUUUGAGAUUGUUAUUGCUACAUAACAAUCAAGGUAAGAUCUAAACCCCAUUCAUAAGUUAAUUUGAUUAAUUGUAUGCUAGAUCUAGGGUUUAAAGUCAUGGAUGAAUUGCAUGUACAAUAGAGAAACCUAGAUCCAAGCAUUAGGGUUUGUAUGAGCACAUAGGAUGUUCUUAUGGCCAAAACCCAUCAGUGGUAUCAGAGACUUGAUUGGUUUCUAUUGUAUUGAUGCAUAUUUGAUCGAAAUCAUCACUGAAAAUCGAAUUUUUUGGCUUCUGAGUGUUUGACUCGCCGAGUCACUUGGUGCACUCGCCGAGUCAGAGGGUCUGACAGCUCAUAUUUGUGAUUUUCUUCCUGUUUUGGCUUUGGAUAAUUACCAUAAACGUGUUUUUGUUAUAAAAUCCGAAUUUUAUCAAUAUUUGGUGAUUAUCCUUACCAAAAUAGAAGAUAAUUGUCAAAAUUUAGAUAAUCAUUUGUUUUAUUAGAUAAAGUUUGAUUAUUUGUAAUUUAGAUUUGAAUUAUCUUGUGAAAAAGUUUCAAUUUUCCCCCUUUAGGUUUUAUAGUUUAAAUUUGAACUUAAAAGUUUUGUUUUUGAAAUUUAAAUAAGUUAAACCCUAAUGUUUUGAAAUGUUUCAAAACUUGCCCUCAAGUUUUGGAAUUUAAAAGUUGAUUAAAAGUUUAAUUUAGAAAUGUUAAAUUCUAAAACCCUAGUAUUGUUUUGAAAAGUUCAAAUCACACCCUUAUGGUUUUAUUAAUUAAUUAAAGUGUAUAAUUAAAAGAGGUUUAAUAAAUCCAUAAAGUUUUGGUUCACAAUUUAAUUGAAUUAAAAGUAUAAUUGUUAAAUUUGACCACCUAGUAUUUUAAAAGUGUAAAAUACACCCUAUACUAUAUAUAACAUUAAAAGUCUAACAUUAUAUAUAUGUAUGAGUAAAAGUCAGUCUUACCGUUAGUAGGCCUCAUUCACGAAGCUGGUCUAUAAGGGGUGUUUAAGGAAAUUGCCUAUAAAAUGGCGAUUGAAUGGGUAUCCACUCUUACCCACCGCACUCUUGACUAGUGGAGGGUCGUUAGCCGAACGGGUAGGAUAGGACAGAAACCUUCCAUUAUAAGUAUAAUGAAGUACAAAAGUAACUAAAUGUUUUACAAAUUCCCAAUCUUAGUUACUUUAUGCAAAAGUGAAUUGAUGCAAUUCCAUGAAAUUACACUUUGUGCCCUUGUAGGACGUUAGUAGAGCUUGUGUGGUUAAUCGACACACUAAAUGGUUCUAAGCAAAUGUAGCAAAGGGUGACUCAAUGUUUGUCAUAGUUCGGUGGAGCAUGUGUGGUUAACCGGCACAUCGAAUAGGUGAUUGUAACAUGUGAGGGCACCAUGUAAGUUUGCAUGGUUAUUCACACCCGCUUUGUGAUCCUCGGUAUCCCAGUCACAAACUAGAGGGGCAUAUCGAGAUUUAAACAUGCCAUUGAAAUGUUCAAUGAAUCUCAAAGGAUCUAGGAGUUUUCAUAGAUUUAAAACUUAAAUUUCUUUUUCGUUUUUCAUGGUGGAAAUUAGUGAAUCGUCAUUCACUUACCUUCAAAUAUUCUGCAACUAGAUUACGGCAUCCCUUUUCUAGGUUGUAGCGUAUUGUGUUGGGUCCUAGCCUUAAUAUCUCAUUUGGGUGAUUUAUUAAGGACUCAAUCAAUCAACUAACUUAAAUUUGUUUUCUCCCAUUUUGUAGAUGUCAAAGUAUGACAACUAUGUUAUUCCUAAAUCCCAUGGAACAAGCUUUCCACAUGAAGAUGAUAUUCCACGAUUCGAUCGAGGAACAAGAGAUCAUGCUUCACUUCCUUCACCUCCUCCAAUUAUUCUCCCUAACCCACAAGUUCGAAGGCUUGAAAAGUUCAAUCUCACUCAACCCCAUUUGGCAAGUAAACAUGAAGAAGGAAAGUCGGUGUGUGCACACGUCCUAGAGAUGAAGUCACACAUUGAUAGGUUAAGAAUGUUGGGAUCCAUUGUCUGUGAGGAGCUGGCUAUUGACUGGGUUCUUCAGUCGCUUCCUAACUCAUAUAGUGAGCUCGUAAGAGAGUACUAUAUGAUGAACCACGACGUGACCCUUAUAGAUCUCACCUACAUGCUUAUUGAUGCUGAAUCAGCAAUGAUUUGGCGCAAUGGAAAAGCAAAGUUGAUUGGUGAAUCUGCCUUCCAGACCUCUAUGGAUAUAGUCAACGGAAACGAAAGGCAUGCCAUGAUCAAAAAGUUUGAUCAUGGCUUCAGCAUCCUAGCCCUCACUAUGAAGGUGAAGUACGUCGAGCUUGUGACUCUUAACAAUACAAUAUGACGGUCUUUGCCGUUGACGACCUUUCGAUCUUCUCUGGUUCUCACUCUUAUAUCAUAUCAGCAACGUCAGGUUCCACAUUGUGCCGAACCAUUUCUUGUCGAUCGCGGAUCUGGAGAAGCUUCCGGUGGGGACUGCUCCGCCGACAUUGGAACGAGGCAAACCGCUGCUUAUCACAACCUCUGGUGCCGGUGGAGGUUUGACCUCGGCGCCGAUGAGGAUGAACUAUGUGAGGAUUAAGGUGCCGGACGUCAUCCGCAACGUCAAGAUCGUGGUGCACAGUGUGUACUUGCCAUUUCCACAUAUUAAUCCUGUGGCUGCGGCUUACGACAGUAUCCUAGGAGGCUCAGAAGUCUCAGGAGGAGAUCAGACGAUGGAAGGAACGUGUGCUGCUCUGGAUGGGCAUGAGGUUGUGGUGAGUCCCCGAUGCCUCAGGUCAAGCCAAUGGUGGAGAUCGAAGAUCACCAUGGCCUGUAAUUAAUCCUGAAAGUGUUGCUUUGGUGACACGUCUCCGUUUAUUUGUUGUCUUUUUUGUGGUCAGUCAAAGACAGAAGAAAGGGGCCGAGGAAGGGGAAGCCCUUCGAGUACCAAUCCGGUCCAUGUGCUGGCUUGGCAUGGAAGGCUACCCGAAAAGUCUUUUUCGCGGCUUGUUUUAAGCUCAAUGCUUAGGGCAGAGUUAUGGCUUUACCCCUUCUUAAUCUAGCAUUGCUACUCUUCUUUGGGAACAGACCGACAGCCCACCACUGGAACUCGCUUUGCUCUCGCUCGGCUCACUCCCGCCUGUCUUCUUCCAACCAUAGUUCACUUUAAGAAAGAUCCUUCAUUUCACUACAGUUGGAACCUCACUGACCUUCUCGGGCAGUUACUCUCAGCUUGGGUUGGGUCUCCGCCAGCUUGACCUUUCCCUUCCCUCCCAAAGUCCGUCGGGCCGACGACAACCCGCGGCAAUCAUACCAGGACUAACGAGAUCUNA